GCAGGCCUAACACAUGCAAGUCGAGCGGUAGCACAGAGAGCUUGCUCUCGGGUGACGAGCGGCGGACGGGUGAGUAAUGUCUGGGAAACUGCCUGAUGGAGGGGGAUAACUACUGGAAACGGUAGCUAAUACCGCAUAACGUCGCAAGACCAAAGUGGGGGACCUUCGGGCCUCAUGCCAUCAGAUGUGCCCAGAUGGGAUUAGCUAGUAGGUGGGGUAACGGCUCACCUAGGCGACGAUCCCUAGCUGGUCUGAGAGGAUGACCAGCCACACUGGAACUGAGACACGGUCCAGACUCCUACGGGAGGCAGCAGUGGGGAAUAUUGCACAAUGGGCGCAAGCCUGAUGCAGCCAUGCCGCGUGUGUGAAGAAGGCCUUCGGGUUGUAAAGCACUUUCAGCGGGGAGGAAGGCGUUGAGGUUAAUAACCUUGGCGAUUGACGUUACCCGCAGAAGAAGCACCGGCUAACUCCGUGCCAGCAGCCGCGGUAAUACGGAGGGUGCAAGCGUUAAUCGGAAUUACUGGGCGUAAAGCGCACGCAGGCGGUCUGUCAAGUCGGAUGUGAAAUCCCCGGGCUCAACCUGGGAACUGCAUUCGAAACUGGCAGGCUAGAGUCUUGUAGAGGGGGGUAGAAUUCCAGGUGUAGCGGUGAAAUGCGUAGAGAUCUGGAGGAAUACCGGUGGCGAAGGCGGCCCCCUGGACAAAGACUGACGCUCAGGUGCGAAAGCGUGGGGAGCAAACAGGAUUAGAUACCCUGGUAGUCCACGCCGUAAACGAUGUCGAUUUGGAGGUUGUGCCCUUGAGGCGUGGCUUCCGGAGCUAACGCGUUAAAUCGACCGCCUGGGGAGUACGGCCGCAAGGUUAAAACUCAAAUGAAUUGACGGGGGCCCGCACAAGCGGUGGAGCAUGUGGUUUAAUUCGAUGCAACGCGAAGAACCUUACCUGGUCUUGACAUCCACAGAACUUUCCAGAGAUGGAUUGGUGCCUUCGGGAACUGUGAGACAGGUGCUGCAUGGCUGUCGUCAGCUCGUGUUGUGAAAUGUUGGGUUAAGUCCCGCAACGAGCGCAACCCUUAUCCUUUGUUGCCAGCGGUUAGGCCGGGAACUCAAAGGAGACUGCCAGUGAUAAACUGGAGGAAGGUGGGGAUGACGUCAAGUCAUCAUGGCCCUUACGACCAGGGCUACACACGUGCUACAAUGGCAUAUACAAAGAGAAGCGACCUCGCGAGAGCAAGCGGACCUCAUAAAGUAUGUCGUAGUCCGGAUUGGAGUCUGCAACUCGACUCCAUGAAGUCGGAAUCGCUANGUAAUCGUNAGAUCAGAANUGCUACGNGUGAAUACGUNUCCCGNGGCCUUGUACACACCNGCCCGUCACACCAUGGGGAGUGGGUUGCAAAAGAAGUAGGUAGCUUAACCUUCGGGAGGGCGCUUACCACUUUGUGAUUCAUGACU
rnacentral:rRNA from 1 species